CGGCCCAGAAAAAACCCAAAUUGCAAAUUUGGAGAAGAACUUUGGUUCCUGGGUCU
rnacentral:tRNA from 1 species